UACAGAGGGUGCAAGCGUUAAUCGGAAUUACUGGGCGUAAAGCGUGCGUAGUCGGCUUUUCAAGUCGGGUGUGAAAGCCCCGGGCUCAACCUGGGAAUUGCAUUCGAUACUGGAUCGCUAGAGUUCGGCAGAGGGAAGUGGAAUUUCUGGUGUAGCGGUGAAAUGCGUAGAUAUCAGAAGGAACAUCAGUGGCGAAAGCGACUUCCUGGACCAGAACUGACGAUCAGGCACGAAAGCGUGGGGAGCAAACAGGAUUAGAUACCCUGGUAGUCCACGCCAUAAACGAUGACAACUAGACGUUGGGAGGGUAAGCCUUCCAGUGUCGCAGCUAACGCGUUAAGUUGUCCGCCUGGGGAGUACGGCCGCAAGGUUGAA
rnacentral:rRNA from 1 species